rnacentral:tRNA from 3 species
GGAAGGUAUGCGUAACCGGUGUUGCGGCUGGGCUUCAAAUCCAGUUGGGGAUGUCAGACAUUCCCAGGUAGGUUCGACUCCUGCUACCUUCCGCCA